GACGAACGCUGGCGGCGUGCUUAACACAUGCAAGUCGAACGGAAAGGCCCUGCUUUUGUGGGGUGCUCGAGUGGCGAACGGGUGAGUAACACGUGAGUAACCUGCCCUUGACUUUGGGAUAACUUCAGGAAACUGGGGCUAAUACCGGAUAGGAUCUCCUGCUGCAUGGUGGGGGUUGGAAAGUUUCGGCGGUUGGGGAUGGACUCGCGGCUUAUCAGCUUGUUGGUGGGGUAGUGGCUUACCCAGGCUUUGACGGGUAGCCGGCCUGGGAGGGUGACCGGCCACAUUGGGACUGAGGUACGGCCCAGACUCCUACGGGAGGCAGCAGUGGGGAAUAUUGCACAAUGGGCGGAAGCCUGAUGCAGCAACGCCGCGUGCGGGAUGACGGCCUUCGGGUUGUAAACCGCUUUCGCCUGUGACGAAGCGUGAGUGACGGUAAUGGGUAAAGAAGCACCGGCUAACUACGUG
rnacentral:rRNA from 1 species